rnacentral:rRNA from 1 species
CCUACGGGUGGCAGCAGUGAGGAAUAUUGGUCAAUGGGCGCGAGCCUGAACCAGCCAAGUAGCGUGAAGGAUGACGGCCCUACGGGUGGUAAACUUCUUUUAUAAAGGAAUAAAGUGAGGCACGGGAGCCUGUGUGGAUGUACUUUAUGAAUAAGGAUCGGCUAACUCCGUGCCAGCAGCCGCGGUAAGACGGAGGAUACGAGCGUGAUCCGGAUUUAUUGGGUUUAAAGGGAGCGUAGAUGGGUUGGUAAGUCAGGUGUGAAAGUUUGCGGCUCAACCGUAGAAUUGCAAUGGAUACUGGCAGUCUUGAGUGCAGUAGAGGUAGGCGGAAUUCGUGGUGUAGCGGUGAAAUGCUUAGAUAUCACGAAGAACUCCGAUUGCGAAGGCAGCUUACU